rnacentral:rRNA from 1 species
AGUUUGAUCAUGGCUCAGGACUAACGCUGGCGGCGUGCCUAACACAUGCAAGUCGAACGAGAGUAGCAAUACUCUAGUGGCAGACGGGUGAGUAACACGUGGUCAACCUACCUCUAUGUGGGGGAUAACUAGCCGAAAGGUUAGCUAAUACCGCAUACGAUCGUCGAGCGGCAUCGCUUGACGAUGAAAGGAGCAAUCCGCAGAGAGACGGGACCGCGUCCCAUUAGCUAGUUGGUGGGGUAAAGGCCUACCAAGGCGACGAUGGGUAGCUGGUCUGAGAGGAUGAUCAGCCACACUGGGACUGAGACACGGCCCAGACUCCUACGGGAGGCAGCAGUGGGGAAUUUUGGACAAUGGGCGCAAGCCUGAUCCAGCCAUGCCGCGUGCGGGAAGAAGGCCUUCGGGUUGUAAACCGCUUUUGUCAGGGAAGAAAAGGUUCUGGUUAAUACCUGGGACUCAUGACGGUACCUGAAGAAUAAGCACCGGCUAACUACGUGCCAGCAGCCGCGGUAGUCGGGCCC